UACGAAGGGGGCUAGCGUUGUUCGGAAUUACUGGGCGUAAAGCGCGUGUAGGCGGGUCUUUAAGUCCGGGGUGAAAUGCCAAGGCUCAACCUUGGAACUGCCUUUGAUACUGGAGACCUUGAGUCCGGGAGAGGUGAGUGGAAUUGCGAGUGUAGAGGUGAAAUUCGUAGAUAUUCGCAAGAACACCAGUGGCGAAGGCGGCUCACUGGCCCGGUACUGACGCUGAGGUGCGAAAGCGUGGGGAGCAAACAGG
rnacentral:rRNA from 1 species